CCUACGGGUGGCUGCAGUGAGGAAUAUUGGUCAAUGGCCGAGAGGCUGAACCAGCCAAGUCGCGUGAGGGAAGAAUGUCCUAUGGAUUGUAAACCUCUUUUGUCAGGGAGCAAAGUCACCCACGUGUGGGUGUUGGAGAGUACCUGAAGAAAAAGCAUCGGCUAACUCCGUGCCAGCAGCCGCGGUAAUACGGAGGAUGCGAGCGUUAUCCGGAUUUAUUGGGUUAAAAGGGUGCGUAGGCGGGUUAUCAAGUCAGCGGUAAAAUCGUGGAGCUCAACUCCAUCCAGCCGUUGAAACUGAUGAUCUUGAGUGGGCGAGAAGUAUGCGGAAUGCGUGGUGUAGCGAUGAAAUGCGUAGAUAUCAGGAGGAACACCGGUGGCGAAGGCGGCUUACUGGACCAUAACUGACGUUGAGGCUCGAAAGCGUGGGGAGCGAACAGGAUUAGAUACCCUUGUAGUC
rnacentral:rRNA from 1 species